rnacentral:rRNA from 1 species
UACGUAGGGUGCGAGCGUUAAUCGGAAUUACUGGGCGUAAAGCGUGCGCAGGCGGUUUUGUAAGUCAGAUGUGAAAUCCCCGGGCUUAACCUGGGAACUGCGUUUGAAACUACAAGGCUAGAGUGUGGCAGAGGGGGGUGGAAUUCCACGUGUAGCAGUGAAAUGCGUAGAGAUGUGGAGGAACACCGAUGGCGAAGGCAGCCCCCUGGGUCAAGAUUGACGCUCAUGCACGAAAGCGUGGGGAGCAAACAGG